ensembl:lncRNA
CCUCAAACACACACACACCCACCACAUAGACACACACACACACCACACACACACGCAAACCCCCUUCCCUCACCCUAUAAAGCAUUAGGUCCAGGCAGGUUUAUCAAUGGCCAGAUCAGAGUGUAUUUCAAUAUUGGCACUGUAGAUACAUCAUGAUAUUAACAGACAGAUAUACAACUGUUCAUCACAAAACCACCAAACAACACAAGACCACGGAAAAAGUGAAAAGGGAGAGAGUGAAAAGGGAGAGUGAAAGAAGGAAUAGAAGCCCUGUUAAUCCAUCCAUUAUUUCAGAACCAGAGCUCCACCCUUUAGACCCCUAAACACACACACACACACACACACACACACACACAGAUGAGCAUCUGUGUGGUUCCCCACGCACACACACACACACACACACACACAAACACAAACACACACAGAAAUACAGUCUCUUUAGGGCCAGAUUGUGUCGGGUUUCUUUCCCUCAUAGCAGAAACAGUGAAACACAGGAUGUAGAGGCUCCAAGCUGCAGUCCAACCUUCAGAGCAGAAAGAGAAACGCUGAUGAAACGUUGUCGUAGCGCUGCCAUAGCGUCGUGGUGAGGUUGUGGGGCUGUGGUCCUGGCUCGAUGCCUGAACGUCAAAAAAUGCCAAUGGCAUGCCAAUGCCAAAUGCCAAUGCCAACAAAACAUUGUUUCAAUGUUGUGGUAAGGUUAUGGGUCUGUGGCUUGGAGCCAGUAAGUUGGAGUUUAUGUACAGAUGCUGGUAAAUUGAAGAGCUGAUGCUGUUGCUGUAGUCCACUUCUCUCAUUUAGCACACAAAGCCAAGGGUGUAGGUUUAGGGUGUAGGUUGAGGGUGUAGGGUGUAGGUUGACGGUGUAGGGGUUCAGGUGUGUAGAGGUUUGCGGGGGUUAGCUUUUGGAAUAGGGGCGGGACUUGUCCAUCAGGCUCCGCCUUUCUGUUCUUCAGCGUCUGUCACUCCUCCAACACCUCCUCCAGGCCACUCCCUCUUUCCAGCUGUGUUUGCGUGUGCGCUUGCGUGUGCGCUUGCGUGUGCGCUUGCGUGUGCGCUUGCGUGUGCGCUUGCGUGUGUGAAUGUGUGUGUGUACGCGCGUGUGCAUGUGUGUGUGUGCACAUGUGUCUGUCUUUGUGUGUGUUGCAGUUGGCUCUUGAUUGUCAUAGCUGGAGAACUAAAGCUCUACUGUCCAGAGUUGGCAGAUAAAUUCUCAUCUUUCAUCAAGUCUCUCCUUAAAAAAAGGUUACAAAUCUGAAAAAAGGUUUAGAUUGAUGCACCUGUAAGAGAGAGUGAAGAAAGAAAGACAGAGUGGAGGGAGAAACUGUAAUUAUGAUGUGAUUGGCUAGACAGUCAAAUCUUCACAGAGAUAAAUGGGAUGAACCUAUGAAUGAAACAGAUGAUUAAUUAAGAAGGCACGAGGGGGUGUGGU